GCCUCCCAGUCAGUAUACUAGUUAUGACACUCGGUUUGUAAUCGAGUGAACUCGGGUUCGAAUCCCGAAUGGGGCA